UAAUAGACUUAAAUUCAGUUAUCGCCGGGGCCACUCACGGAUUGUGUUUCAGGUUUUAGAUUUACCCGACAUGAGUGACGUUAUAUUCUGUGACGUCAUUUAUUCCUUUUUAGAAUUUCAUCGCAGCAAGCAAGAUGUUUAAAUUUUGUAAGCGGUAAACUUGAAAAUUGAAAUGGUAAAGUAAACCAUGUAAGAAUUUGUAUGGUUAUAACCUGACUUAUGCUUCUAAUGUGAUUAAAAGUAAUCUUAGAAAGAAUUCGUUUUAUCGAUCGUCAAUUUUUUAACCAUAUGGCAUCGCCACGUGGAGAGCACAUGGAAAGACUGAAUGACAAAUUCAUUGGUCUCAUGAAUGGAUUACUCGUUUUCAUUUUUUAAUUAUUUAAUUUUUACAAGUGUGAGUAAUUAGAUGCAACAUUGUCCUAAGAUUUGCAGAUUAUAAUAAUGUUUACCAGGCGUCAUUGUAUAUUUCUACAUAAAAUUAGAUGCACGACGUCGAGUGUUUUUAUUUUAAAUUUUUUUUUAUAUAUUACUUUGAUCUCAUAUCUUAUACUAUUGAAAUUGAGUAUUGACAGAUCGUCAAGUGCCUAUGGGUAAGCCUAACAAAUGGUAUUUUGCGCUGUAACAGAUCAGGCAGGUUAGUAACGUGUCUUUAAUGAUUAUGUGUUGUGGGGCAGGUGUUAUCUAAUGAACUCCCGAAACUUCCGAAUUAAAAGUAAAUUUUCUUUAAGAGGGUAUACAUCGGUAAUUGUGUAUCUAGAUCUUUCAUAGCACAUAUACAGAAAAUAUUCCAUGAAAGGAUAUGAACGUAAAAGGGACGUACUCUUUGGGGCGAAGGACCCAGGUUCAUAACCGGAAGUUCAACUUUCGAUACAAAUAAACAAAAAUCUUGGAAAUCUUGAACAGAGACCAUACCCGGAGUUAAGAAGCAGUAGCCAAAAGAAAUCAUUGCUAAAUGUUAGCUUGCUGGUGGAUUUAAGCAAAUAUUAUCAUCUGUAUAUAUCCGGCUAUACAUUUUGCGUGUACCUACACAUUUGUGUACUAAAAAUUGUCAAGAGUCAUUCAUCAGUGAAGAUGUCAAUGUAUACAUUUAUAUAGUUACUACUACUCUCUAGACUAGACUAGGUCGAUAUGGUAUGAAUAGUUCAGUUAGAUCAAGAAUUUAGCCAACAAAUAUGUCAACAGGCCACAGCUUGAAUUAUUGUUGUAAUAACGAAUCCGUAAUAACUCAAUUAUAUACUAAUAUUACACUAUGUUACUAUCAACUGACUAUGGAUUUUAGUUUAUAUAAAUCUGUAUAUAUACUAAUUUUGAAUUAUUUUUAAAUUAUUGUAACUAUUAUCGACACAACUACAUGUAUGAGUAUACAUAAUUUUUAAUUGUUAUUGUUUCUUUGUACAGUUAUUUGGUUUUGUUAUGUCAAUGCUACAUGUAUGUACAUUGUAGCAUGGGGAAACUAAUAUUUACUUUUUGUUGAGUUGUAGCACAUGUUGGGUAAAUCAAGUAGAGACCUUGCUCGGCCACAGAACACGGCCAAGGAUUGUAACAGUUGGACCAGAGACUUGGACAACAAGGCCACACCAGUUUUUACAAAUGGGUUACCAGACUGGACUGGAUUCACGACUCAUCACGCCACUAACUCAACUCCUUUGGUCACAUACAUUUGUACAUUGGAUCAUCAUCGAUGUUAUUUAUGCUAACCCCUAGAGCUUCGCAUUGGUAUGAUUCCAGUUGAAAAAUUUUCAGGUAAUCGUCAGAUUUUUUAGUUAAAAGCAGUAUAUUACUUUUAAGUUAAAC
rnacentral:lncRNA from 1 species